rnacentral:rRNA from 1 species
UACAGAGGGUGCGAGCGUUGUCCGGAAUCACUGGGCGUAAAGGGCGCGUAGGCGGUCAUGUAAGUCGGGGGUGAAAUGCUGCGGCUCAACCGCAGCGCUGCCUUCGAGACUGCAUGACUGGAGCACGGUAGAGGCGGAUGGAAUUCCCGGUGUAGCGGUGGAAUGCGUAGAGAUCGGGAAGAACACCAAUGGCGAAGGCAGUCCGCUGGGCCGUUGCUGACGCUGAGGCGCGACAGCGUGGGGAGCAAACAGG